ACUGCAACCAAGUGCAGAUCAUUUCCACUUACUUUACCAUCUAACUGUGAAGAUUAUUAAGGAAAAGGACUUUUUCUUCUUCUCUCUUCUAACAUGUUAAACUAAGAACCUUCCCACUGUGAACUACUGGCAUCUUACUUUUUGACCCCUUGACAAGAAGAACUGGAGUUACCAAAAUGCUGUCAUUUAAGGUGUUGGAGUGGAAACCAGAACAUUACCUAUUAUCAAGAAGGGGUUUCUUCUAAGGCAUUCACUCUUUUCUAUACUGAUUUCAUAAUUUACUAAGUGAGAUAUCUGGUUAUGCUUUAUUUCUCAUUGUUUGUAUGUUUUCUUUUCCCAGGGCACUCAGAAACAUACAUCUAAGGAAAGAUUCACUUAAAAACCAGCCAAGACACAGUCAUAUAAUUGGGAUCUCCAGGGCCCUGAGUAAAGACAGUCUCCUCCCACUUCAUCGUCGGUAAAUCAAACUCUCCACAGAUGGGCAUUUCCAGGUUUUCCUGUGAGUUUCUUGCACCUACAGAGCCUGGCCAAAUACUACAAUCCUGGUCAGUCAAGAGGAAGAAAAGGAAACUUGAGGCAAGGGAAGAUGUGAAACAAUUCAAAGUGAUGCAUAUGACUCCAGCUGCUGCCGUGUGAAGUACCACCGUGAGAUACAGCAGCUUUCUCAGCAGGCUUGUCUAC
rnacentral:lncRNA from 1 species